rnacentral:rRNA from 1 species
CCCAACACACUGGGGAGGUAGUGACAAAAAAUAUCAAUGCAGGGCGAUUACGUCGUUCUGUAAUUGGAAUGGUCCGAACUUAAAUAAUUCGGAGAGUAUCAAUUAGAGGGCAAGUCUGGUGCCAGCAGCCGCGGUAAUUCCAGCUCUAAUAGCGUAUACUAAAGUUGCUGCAGUUAAAAAGCUCGUAGUUGGAUUUUGGGGGAGUUAUAUUGCGGUCUCAGGGCUUCGGCCAGGGGACGGAUAUUUCUCUUCUUCUAUUCGAAGACUCAUCUUCCUCUUCACUGAGCGGAGGUGAGGAUUUGGAGCCUUUACUUUGAAGAAAUUGGAGUGUUCAAAGCAGGCUUGAUGCAAUUGAACAUAUUAGCAUGGAAUAAUAAAAUAGGACGAACGUCCCAUUUUGUUGGUUUCUGAGACGAUCGUAAUGAUUAAUAGGGACAGUUGGGGGCAUUUGUAUUGCGUCGUCAGAGGUGAAAUUCUUGGAUUGACGCAAGACAAACUACUGCGAAAGCAUUUGCCAAGGAUGUUUUCAUUAAUCAAGAACGAAAGUUAGGGGAUCGAAGGCGAUUAGAAACCGCCCUAGUCCUAACCAUAAACGAUGCCAACUCAGUAUUGGAGGGUGUUAACCAAACGACCCUUUCAGCACUGCUAGAGA